rnacentral:rRNA from 1 species
CGGAACACCCUUGACAGAGGUUUCGGCCAAUGAAGAGGAAUGUUUAGUGGCGGACUGGUGAGUAACGCGUGAGGAACCUGCCUUUCAGAGGGGGACAACAGUUGGAAACGACUGCUAAUACCGCAUAACGCAUUUGGGUGGCAUCACUCGAAUGUCAAAGAUUUAUCGCUGAAAGAUGGCCUCGCGUCUGAUUAGAUAGUUGGUGGGGUAACGGCCUACCAAGUCGACGAUCAGUAGCCGGACUGAGAGGUUGACCGGCCACAUUGGGACUGAGAUACGGCCCAGACUCCUACGGGAGGCAGCAGUGGGGAAUAUUGGGCAAUGGACGCAAGUCUGACCCAGCAACGCCGCGUGAAGGAAGAAGGCUUUCGGGUUGUAAACUUCUUUUAAGGGGGAAGAGUAGAAGACGGUACCCCUUGAAUAAGCCACGGCUAACUACGUGCCAGCAGCCGCGGUAAUACGUAGGUGGCAAGCGUUGUCCGGAUUUACUGGGUGUAAAGGGCGUGUAGCCGGGAAGGCAAGUCAGAUGUG